GUUUUUAGUUUUGUUUGAUAGUUGCACAGCUAUUUCGCUCUAGAAUAACUCAAAAAUCAUGGUGACUUUUAAGGGAGCUCGUAUCAUAUCCAUAUUUGCUUUUACUAUCUUGAUUAUGCAAGUAAUACGUACAUCUAAAGCUGCUGGACUCCUUGAUUCUAUAACUGGCACUACUGGGACCACAUGUGUAAACAACUCCCUUUUGUCCAGUUUAUCGAGCGCACUUUCAAGUCUUUCAUCAAAGGACCUUAGUUUGUUAACAUUUUUGAGUCCCGCCCUGAUUAAUGUUCUUAAACUUUUAACGCAGGUUUUAACUGCUCUCAGCGGCUAAAUCAUGUGUACAUUUAAUUUUCAAAUUUGUGUGCAGUUAAAUAAAUAAACGAAUUACUUAUUGCAAA